AUUGAACGCUGGCGGCAGGCUUAACACAUGCACGUCGAGCGAGCGGCGGACGGGUGAGUAAUGUCUGGGAAACUGCAUGAUGGAGGGGGAUAACUACUGGAAACGGUAGCUAAUACCGCAUACCCUACGAUGUGCCAAGAUGGGAUUAGCUAGUAGGUGGGGUAAUGGCGCACCUAGGCGACGAUCCCUAGCUGGUCUGAGAGGAGGACCAGCCACACUGGAACUGAGACACGGUCCAGACUCCGACGGGAGGCAGCAGUGGGGAAUAUUGCACAAUGGGCGCAAGCCUGAUGCAGCCAUGCCGCGUGUGUGAAGAAGGCCUUCGGGUUGUAAAGCACUUUCAGCGAGGAGGCGUUACUCGCAGAGGAAGCACCGUCUAACUCCGUGCCAGCAGCCGCGGUAAUUC
rnacentral:rRNA from 1 species